rnacentral:rRNA from 1 species
GAUGAACGCUGGCGGCGUGCCUAAUACAUGCAAGUCGAGCGAACAGACGAGGAGCUUGCCCCUCUGACGUUAGCGGCGGACGGGUGAGUAACACGUGGAUAACCUACCUAUAAGACUGGGAUAACUUCGGGAAACCGGAGCUAAUACCGGAUCAUAUAUUGAACCGCAUGGUUCAAUAGUGAAAGACGGUUUUGCUGUCACUUAUAGAUGGAUCCGCGUCGCAUUAGCUAGUUGGUAAGGUAACGGCUUACCAAGGCAACGAUGCGUAGCCGACCUGAGAGGGUGAUCGGCCACACUGGAACUGAGACACGGUCCAGACUCCUACGGGAGGCAGCAGUAGGGAAUCUUCCGCAAUGGGCGAAAGCCUGACGGAGCAACGCCGCGUGAGUGAUGAAGGUCUUCGGAUCGUAAAACUCUGUUAUUAGGGAAGAACAACUGUGUAAGUAACUAUGCACGUCUUGACGGUACCUAAUCAGAAAGCCACGGCUAACUACGUG